rnacentral:hammerhead_ribozyme from 1 species
AUCCAGCUGUGGAGUCCCAAAUAGGAUGAAACGUGCGUCCUGGAU